GUGUUCAAGUGCUUAUCUGGUUUGGCCAACAUGGUUUAUUUAAAUGCUACCAUUGCUUACAGCACUUCAUGAAAUGAAAACAGGAAAAUACCAUGUCUGGCACCUAAAAUACAACAUGUAGGCAGAGUUCCCAAAGCAGUUUGCAAGAGAGGCAGAAAACCCCACACUUUCCUACUCUGCCAUUUCACACUGUCAAGAAUGCAAAGUAAUGAAUGUACUUUUCUUCGCAUCUGUAUGACUUAUGGUUUCGCCCCUUUUGAUCUGCAAGUUUCAUCAGUUCUCCCACUCUUGCAUUCUCAAAUACAAAGUGACUCAGUCCCACAACAAGCAUUUUGAUAAGUCUGCAUUUCACCUAUCAGAGAAUGUUUGCCUGUCCAAGAUUGCUGGUGCUUUUACUCCUGAAAGCCUCCUUCACAAAUCCCUGCCCCCAUCAGUGCAUGUGCUCCUCUUUGGGUCCUGCGUCACUCAAGGUAGACUGUGGCUCUAGAGACCUGGAUGCCCUUCCUCUUCUACCUAAUGCAACAGAAGAACUUUAUCUGCAGUACAACCAACUGAAAGCAAUACCUGCAGGAACAUUUGACAACCUUUGGACCCUAAAAAGGAUCAACUUAUCCAGCAACCCAUGGCACUGUGACUGUGAGAUUAUCUACUUAAAAGUCUGGUUGGAAGACCAAGCAGACAACAUGGUUAGCAAUGAGGUUAUUUGCUUCACUCCACUUUCACUUAAUAAGAAAACACUCUCUCAGUUGAGACAGAGUGAUUUUACCUCUUGCUCCAGUGCUAGAAGACAUUGUUUUGACUUCGUGCUCACUGAUGCAUUUCUCUUGUUUCUUGUUCUGCUCUUGUUGACUUUACUGAUCUGUGGUGUCUUGGCUGCAAAAAAAUCUAAGUACAGAACGAACGUUUCUAGUGAUACCAUGGAUUGGCCCCCUGCAUCACCUUCAAUUUCGAUUGAAGUCAAGAGAAUAACUCCCAAUUAAGAGAAUAAUGCCCAGGACUUUAAGCAGUACAUCAUGCUAGCGACUUGUGCGAGUUAAAAUAUUAGGUAGGAAAGAUGGUUCAUUAGAAAAGCAUGCGACUGUAAAAACCAGAUGAGAAUGGCAUGUGCAGGGACUAUAUAAAGCAUGACAUAUAAGUAUAGGGCCUGACCUUGAAAGCCACAAACUAAUGAAUUAAAUCCUGACCCCACUGAACUCAGCAGGAAAACUACCAUUGCCUUCGAUGGAACCGUAAUUCCAUGCAAGUUGCAGUACUUACUUCCAGGGUUGGUCCUACUGAAAUUAAUGAUCUACACCAGUGGUCUCCAACCUCUUUGAACAGGAGAUCACUUUUUGAAUUAAAAAGCAACCCAGGUUCUACCACACACCACCACCCCUCCCCACAGCAGGUCAGUCUGUGGGGAGGCAGAUAGAGGUGGAGGAAGAAAAAGUUAUUUGGAGGCACCCCCCCACCGCAGAAGGUAAGUCUGUGGAGGAAAGGGUGGGGAGGAGGGGGGACAGAUUGAGGCCCCAGCAGUGAGGGAGGGAGCAGGACACAGGUAGGAGCAGGGGCUGGGGUGAUUGGAGCCCUGUGUCCCCUGGGCCCCCGCUUAUCCCACCACCUGGCCCUGCUCAGCUGGGGCAUAGGAUGGAGUUGUGAGUGGCUCGUCCAGGUGGUGCCCAGUGUGGGGAGGGGAUGGUGGCUCCUGCCACUGCAUGCACUCCAGGAGGCCAUGGGUGUUGUGUGCUUGGGAUCUCCGUGGGGCAGGCUGCUGCUGUGGGCUGGGGGGCUGCCACAGGCUCUUCCCAGCACAGGGGUUGGGUCAUGCCGUGCUCCAGGCGGGCGGUGGCAGCGCUGGGAGGGUAGGCUAGGGGGACUAUGGCAAACUUUGGGGCAACUCCAGGCCCCCCCCACCGCCGUAGCCCCAGCUCAGGGCCACUGCUGCAGGAGUGUUGGGCCUGAGUGCAGCCUGGCCCAACACUCCUGCCAGGAAGAGCCCAGCACCACCCCAGCCCCAGCCCACAGCAGCAGCCCACCUUCACUCUGCACAGAUCUAGGGGCACAUACUCACCAUGCCCUCCCAAGGUGCAUGCCCCCUUCUCCCAGCACCUCCCUGGAUGAGCUACUAGUGGCUCUGUCCCACACCCUGCCCCAGCUGUGCAGUGCCUGCUCCAUCCUCAGCCCCACUCCCUCCCACACUGCUGCAUGUGUGCCCCUCCACACCCCUGCUAUAGCUGCCCACACUGCCCCAUGUUUGGGGGGGGCACAUGCCCCCCCCAAUCUGUGUGUGGGGCAGAGGUGGCUGCCACUGCACAUUGGGCUUAGCACCCCAAACCCCACUGCAGCUGGCUCAAGAGCAACCUGAUGCCACAUGUGUUCUGCUGCUGGGCUGAGCUGCACCCCCGCCCACCCAACAAUGGGAUGCACAUGGUGUUGGGCCACUCCUGGGCCAGCUGCAGUGGGGCUCAGGGCACAAAGUGCAGCAGCAGCUAUCUCCACCCCAUGCACAGAUGGGGGGGGCAUGUGCUCCCUGGGCCUGUGCUGGGGUAUGCAGUGGUGGGAGCCCCCCAUGCCCCUGGACAAGCCACCUGGGCUCCCAUCCUCCUACCACCCAGGGCCCCACUCACUUUAGCCCCUGCUCCUGCCUGUGCCACCCUCCAUCCCUCACCAUGGGGGCCUCAAUCUGGCCCCCACCUCCUCCUUCCCCCACAGAUCGCAUGUGCUCAGCCCCACCCCAGAUCAACUGGAAGAAGCUUUGUGAUCGACCAGUCAAUUGGUGACCACCAAUCUGCACCUAAUAAAAAGAGCUUGCAGAUGUUUUGCCUUUCAUUUGAGUGAACACUAUUUGCAGAAAAUGAAAACUGCCAAGUUUAUAUAAUAUUUCAAACAACAAUUUUAUGUUGUUUAAGACCAUAGAUUUCAAAAUAAAAAUCUAUAUUUAUCAUUAAUACAUUUUUUAUUUUUCACCUUUCUGUCCAUUUAGACAGUAAAAGUAUCACUUAUGCUUCUAGCAACUAUGUUACUUUUUUUAAUGUAUUGAAAACAUUAAAAUGUUUGAGUUUUGUCUUCGGUGCAAAUGAAACACACAAUGGUAUUCAAAGAGCAGAGUUCACAGCUCAGAAUGCUUUCCAUAAGAGACCAAUCAGAAAUUCCUAAAAUUUUUCAAACUUCAGUUUGGGAUUUUUAGUGCCCAAGUUCAAUAGCACUUGGUUUCAAGUUUUUCAUGCUGCCCAUUAUGGAUCUGUGUUGUUAGUUUGAGCCUAUUUCAAGUUACAAUCAAUGCAAAUAAAAACAAACUGUGCAGACA